rnacentral:rRNA from 1 species
CCUACGGGUGGCAGCAGUGAGGAAUAUUGGUCAAUGGGCGCUAGCCUGAACCAGCCAAGUAGCGUGAAGGAUGACUGCCCUAUGGGUUGUAAACUUCUUUUAUAUGGGAAUAAAGUGCAGUAUGUAUACUGCUUUGCAUGUACCUUAUGAAUAAUGAUCGGCUAACUCCGUGCCAGCAGCCGCGGUAAUACGGAGGAUCCGAGCGUUGUCCGGAUUUAUUGGGUUGAAAGGGAGCGUAGGCGGGUUGUUAAGUCAGUUGUGAAAGUUGGCGGCUCAACCGUAAAAUUGCAGUUGAUACUGGCAGCCUUGAGUACAGGAGAGGUAGGCGGAAUUCGUGGUGUAGCAGUGAAAUGCUUAGAUAUCGCGAGGAACACCGGUUGCGAAGGCAGCCUGCUGGACUGUAACUGACGCUGAUGCUCGAAAGUGUGGGUAUCAAACGGGAUUAGAUACCCUUGUAGUC